AGGUUUGAUCAUGGCUCAGAUUGAACGCUGGCGGCAGGCCUAACACAUGCAAGUCGAGCGGUAGAGAGAAGCUUGCUUCUCUUGAGAGCGGCGGACGGGUGAGUAAUGCCUAGGAAUCUGCCUGGUAGUGGGGGAUAACGUUCGGAAACGGACGCUAAUACCGCAUACGUCCUACGGGAGAAAGCAGGGGACCUUCGGGCCUUGCGCUAUCAGAUGAGCCUAGGUCGGAUUAGCUAGUUGGUGAGGUAAUGGCUCACCAAGGCGACGAUCCGUAACUGGUCUGAGAGGAUGAUCAGUCACACUGGAACUGAGACACGGUCCAGACUCCUACGGGAGGCAGCAGUGGGGAAUAUUGGACAAUGGGCGAAAGCCUGAUCCAGCCAUGCCGCGUGUGUGAAGAAGGUCUUCGGAUUGUAAAGCACUUUAAGUUGGGAGGAAGGGUUGUAGAUUAAUACUCUGCAAUUUUGACGUUACCGACAGAAUAAGCACCGGCUAACUCUGUGCCAGCAGCCGCGGUAAUACAGAGGGUGCAAGCGUUAAUCGGAAUUACUGGGCGUAAAGCGCGCGUAGGUGGUUUGUUAAGUUGGAUGUGAAAUCCCCGGGCUCAACCUGGGAACUGCAUUCAAAACUGACUGACUAGAGUAUGGUAGAGGGUGGUGGAAUUUCCUGUGUAGCGGUGAAAUGCGUAGAUAUAGGAAGGAACACCAGUGGCGAAGGCGACCACCUGGACUAAUACUGACACUGAGGUGCGAAAGCGUGGGGAGCAAACAGGAUUAGAUACCCUGGUAGUCC
rnacentral:rRNA from 1 species